rnacentral:rRNA from 1 species
UACGUAGGUGGCAAGCGUUGUCCGGAUUUAUUGGGCGUAAAGCGCGCGCAGGCGGUGCGGUAAGUCUCUGGUGAAAGCGCUCGGCUUAACUGGGCGAGGGCCGGGGAGACUGCCACGCUGGAGGGGAGCAGAGGCGAGUGGAAUUCCGGGUGUAGUGGUGAAAUGCGUAGAGAUCCGGAGGAACACCAGUGGCGAAGGCGGCCGGCUGGGGGCGCCCUGACGCUGAGGCGCGAGAGCGUGGGGAGCAAACCGG